GUGCUUUAUAUAUUAUAAUUAUUAUACAGGGUCGUCGAGGUAAAUCGGGAAAAAUUAAUGCAGGGAUUUGCGCUAUUUCCGUUUGGGCGAUAAUUUGGCUAUACUUGCACAUGACAAGGUAGUGACCUUGGUAGAGAGUAGGCACUCACAAAAUGGCCGCUGCGUCAUCAGCACGUGCAGAUUGGAAUCAGAGAGUGGCUAUACUUGAGUCUAUUCACACCAGAAAGUCGCCGCGAGAAAUAAUUGAGUGGUUUGGUUACAAGAAGAUGCAGGUUUAUGACUUAGCGAAGAGGUUCAGGGAGUCUGAGAUGGAGGAAGUCAUUCCUGACUGGGUCGAACAUCGAAAGCGGUCUGACUGUAAAGGUGGUG
rnacentral:lncRNA from 1 species